CCGGAUCCCUCCCACAUUAGACCUACCACACCCUCAGGGCAGACAACAGCUCCACACACCCCACACUCAGCCACCAGGGCAAGGGAGCAAAAUUCCAGAAAGCUCAGAGCGGACUGAUGUACUGGCCCUUAGUACAGGUGCUGCCAUGGCCACGACUGUUGUUACACUCGAGCUGAGGAGGCCGGCUGCAGCCCCAAGACAGAGCGCUACUCCUGGCAGUGCGU
rnacentral:lncRNA from 1 species